UAUCGAACCUGCCUCAUACUCGGGAAUAGCCUUGCGAAAGUAAGAUUAAUGCCCGGUGUUUUCAGAGUCCCGCAUGAGGCUUUGAACAAAGAUUUAUCGGUAUGAGAUGGCGAUGCGUCCCAUUAGCUUGUUGGCGGGGUAACGGCCCACCAAGGCAUCGAUGGGUAGGGGUUCUGAGAGGAAGGUCCCCCACAUUGGAACUGAGACACGGUCCAAACUCCUACGGGAGGCAGCAGUGAGGAAUAUUGGUCAAUGGGCGGAAGCCUGAACCAGCCAAGUAGCGUGCAGGAAGACGGCCCUCCGGGUUGUAAACUGCUUUUAGUUGGGAAUAAAACGGGGCUCGUGAGCCCCCUUGCAUGUACCAUCAGAAAAAGGACCGGCUAAUCCCGUGCCAGCAGCCACGGUAAUACGGAAGGUUCGGGCGUUAUCCGGAUUUAUUGGGUUUAAAGGGAGCGCAGGCGGACCUUUAAGUCAGCUGUGAAAUACGGCGGCUCAACCGUCGAACUGCAGUUGAUACUGGAGGUCUUGAGUGCACACAGGGAUGCUGGAAUUCAUGGUGUAGCGGUGAAAUGCUCAGAUAUCAUGAAGAACUCCGAUCGCGAAGGCAGGCAUCCGGGGUGCAACUGACGCUGAGGCUCGAAAGUGCGGGUAUCAAACAGGAUUAGAUACCCUGGUAGUCCGCACAGUAAACGAUGAAUACUCGC
rnacentral:rRNA from 1 species